GAACACAAAAUGGCGACACGUGGUUAGCAUUCGUCGCCAACGAGAAAUUGGGGUCGGCCCGAAAGCUCUAGAAUGCACCCCCCUUCUUCCCCGGGGCCUUCCACCUCCGCGAGUUUUAUGACUUAAAAAACCCCACAGGCUGGUCUGAAGAGGAAGACAAACAUAAAGAUGAAGUGCUUAAUUCAAGGUCACACAAUGUCGGGGAUGGACCUCCAGAUUUCCUUACUGGAAAACAAGCUCAGGGCUCCCACUGAUUGUACAUUAUGGUGAGACGUGGUCUUGUAACACAGUGGUUAAGAAUGUGACUUUGGAGCCAGCCUGCUAGGGGCUGAAUUCUGACUCAGCCAUUUACUAACUGUGUGACCUUAGGUCACAGAAUUUUCCACACUCCUUGACGGAGGUGCUUAACCCUUAUCCAUCAGCAUUCUCAGACAGCACCUCCGGUUAGGGACAGUAUCUGACCGUCCGACAUCCCUGCAGCCCCCAUGUGUCACACAGACUCAGCCUCAGGUAGAUGGUUUCCGUAGAUGGUGGCUUUCUUUGGACCCUUGACAUCAACCAGUUACUAUUUGCUCCUGCAACCACCGCUCUACUUUCUGUCUCUAUGAACUUGACUACUCUAGACACCUCAUCUCAGCAAGGCCCACAUUUUCCCGGUGAAGCCACAGAACCACAGGGAGAAACCCAUGGACUUCGCCUCUCUCUCUAGGGGACCAGAUGUGC
rnacentral:antisense_RNA from 1 species